rfam:Janibacter hoylei PVAS-1 Contig57, whole genome shotgun sequence.
GAGGAAUCCGGUGCAACUCCGGAGCGGUCCCGCCACUGUCACGGCCCACGCGGCCCGAGCCAGACACUC